ACGAACGCUGGCGGCGUGCUUAACACAUGCAAGUCGAACGGUGAAGCGCCUUCCUUUUUGGUGGGUGUGGAUGAGUGGCGAACGGGUGAGUAACACGUGAGUAACCUGCCCCCUUCUUCUGGAUAACCGCAUGAAAGUGUGGCUAAUACGGGAUAUUCUGGGUCUGUCGCAUGAUGGGUCUGGGAAAGAUAUUGUUUCGGUGGGGGAUGGGCUCGCGGCCUAUCAGCUUGUUGGUGGGGUGAUGGCCUACCAAGGCGGUGACGGGUAGCCGGCCUGAGAGGGUGGACGGUCACACUGGGACUGAGACACGGCCCAGACUCCUACGGGAGGCAGCAGUGGGGAAUAUUGCACAAUGGGCGCAAGCCUGAUGCAGCGACGCCGCGUGAGGGAUGGAGGCCGUCGGGUGGGGAACCUCUUUCGCCAGUGAAGCAGGCCUGCCUCGUUUGUGGGUGGGUUGACGGUAGCUGGAUAAGAAGCGCCGGCUAACUACGU
rnacentral:rRNA from 1 species